rnacentral:rRNA from 1 species
UACGUAGGGUGCAAGCGUUAAUCGGAAUGACUGGGCGUAAAGGGUGCGCAGGCGGUCUGCUAAGACAGAGGUGAAAUCCCCGGGCUUAACCUGGGGAAUGGCCUAUGUGACUGGCAGGCUAGAGGAUGGCAGAGGGAGGCGGGAAUGCCACGUGUAGCAGUGAAAUGCGUAGAGAUGUGGCGGAACACCGAUGGCGAAGGCAGCCUCCUGGGCCAAUCCUGACGCUCAGGCACGAAAGCGUGGGGAGCAAACAGG